GCCCCCCCGCUCCCUGCGAGCCCCCCCCCCCGGAGCCCCCCGCGCGGCAGGGAGAGUAAGUCACUCCCUUAGGGGCCAAGAGGGCAGGUAGCCCCAUGGUCCUGGGAUCGGUGCCGCCCUGCCCUCUGCCCACACACAUGCCUGCAGGAGUGAGGGGCUGAGGGGGUCGGGGGAGUGCCUUUCCUGGGCUCUAGGCCCCAGGACAACUCACUUCCCAGCCUGGCCUGGUGGCGCCUCUGAGAGUCACGAGGAGACGCUUUCAUCAGGCAGAUUUACGGCUUCACAAACACGCUUCCCUCCCUCCCGGCCUGCCCGUCCCACCUCCGGCCCCCGGAGGGAGGGAGGGAAGGGGUCAGCAGUCAGCCCAGAGCACAUCUGUGGGCUGUGGGAGGGGCGGCUGGGGGCACAGUGACGCCGGAGGGACUGGUCCUGGUGGGGGAGAUGCAGACACAGACACAGGCCCUGCCAGCCAGACCUGCAGCGUGGAGGUGCAGACGCGGGCACACAGCGAGAGACCCCCAAGGCCCCCCCGACUAGUCACAGCACGAAGGCCGGGAGGGGCUGUGACAGAAACCCAGCCCAGCCUGCGUGAGCACGCGUGUGCACACAAAUACACGUGCACGCAGGGCCUGUGGGGGUGGGCGGCUGAAGCCACGAGGCCCUCCUGACGCCGAGGUGCCCCAGCACCCAGGCCGCCCUCCUCUAUGUCCUUCACUCUCCCCUGGCUUCCCUGCACCCACCUCCCGGGGUGGGGUUCCAGGGUGGUCCUGCAGGGGCAGAGGCAGGCAUGGGAGGGCUGGUGGGGGGCCCCUCCACGGCGUCCCUGUCCAGGGCGUGGUGCUCAGCUACCCCCAGGGUGCCCACUCCCUCGACCAGAGACGCUUCUUCAGGCUGGCUCCUGCAAUGAUCAGUGUCAAGGGCGUUCUGCUUCUACUCUCUUUGGAAAUGAAGCCCGCGUGAACUGCUCCGUGCACCCGCUGCUGCUGGAGGGCUCGCCCUCCUGCCCGAACCUCUAUGCCAACUGGCUGGUCAUCCUCCUGCUGGUCACCUUCCUGCUGGUCACCAACGUGCUGCUCAUGAACCUGCUCAUCGCCAUGUUCAGGUGCCCCCCUGGCCCUGCUCCGCCCACGUAGGGUGCCCAUGGGUCCAGCCCACCCUGGCCCAGACGGCAGGCUGCGAAUGCCUCUCUGCCCGCAGGAGGGGCCUGGAUGUGGGGUGUCACCCGAAACACCGGCUCCCCUUCGGGCCGGGCCUGGAGUGCUGGCAGAGGGAAUUCAGGGCACUGAGGGGGCGUGCGGGGUGGGCCGGGGUGCCCUGGAGCAGGGGCUGGGUCUGCGCAGGCUGAAGCUGAGGGGGCAGUGGGAGACCCCAGAUGCUCGAAGCCCC
rnacentral:lncRNA from 1 species